rfam:Culex pipiens quinquefasciatus supercont3.569 genomic scaffold, whole genome shotgun sequence.
AGCCACGUAGCUUAGUGGUAACGCUUCCGCCUCGUAAGCUGUAGAUCGGGGUUCGAAUCCCGGCUCUGGCCA